rnacentral:rRNA from 1 species
CCUACGGGAGGCAGCAGUGGGGAAUAUUGCUCAAUGGGGGAAACCCUGAAGCAGCAACGCCGCGUGGGGGAUGAAGGUUUUCGGUAUGUAAACCCCUUUUGGUAGAGAAGAUAAUGACGGUACCUGACCAAGAAGCACCGGCUAACUCCGUGCCAGCAGCCGCGGUAAUACGGAGGGUGCAAGAGUUAUCCGGAAUCACUGGGCGUAAAGAGAGCGUAGGCGGGAUAGCAAGUCAGAUGUGAAAUUCUAGGGCUUAACCACAGAACUGCAGUUGAAACUGUCAGUCUAGAGUACGGGAGAGGUAGGUGGAAUGCGUGGUGUAGCGGUGAAAUGCGUAGAGAUCAAGAGGAAUACUGAUUGCGAAGGCGGCCUGCUGGAACAUAACUGACGCUGAGGCGCGAAAGCGUGGGGAGCAAACAGGAUUAGAUACCCUAGUAGUC